rnacentral:rRNA from 1 species
UACGUAGGGGGCAAGCGUUGUCCGGAUUUAUUGGGCGUAAAGAGCGUGUAGGCGGUUAUGUAGGUCCGUUGUGAAAACUCGAGGCUCAACCUCGAGACGCCGAUGGAAACCAUCUGACUAGAGUCCGGAAGAGGAGAGUGGAAUUCCUGGUGUAGCGGUGAAAUGCGCAGAUAUCAGGAAGAACACCCGUGGCUAAGGCGGCUCUCUAGUACGGUACUGACGCUGAGACGCGAAAGCGUGGGGAGCGAACAGG